UUUCAGACUUCCUCUGAACUUGGGCCUCUGAAAAGUUUAUACUGUUAGGCAGACAGAAAGAGCAAAAACAAAGUGGAAGGAACUGCUAGCUGAAGGUAACAAAGCCCACCCAGGAAUCAAAUCCAGGCUGCAUUAACCCCCCACCCUGCAUGCAGCCUGAGGAUGCUGACUGGGCCAGUACCAGCCUACUCUGGAUUGGAUAGGCAGGAUUGUGAAGGACCUGGAGAUUAGGAGGUGAUCCCAGGAUCAUGAGCAAUGAAUGCAUGUGCAUGCUGACUAAAUGGACUUGAUCAAGACGUUAUAAAUAUCAUUGUCAAGGAGAUGUAAAAGUGGUGGAAACACACUUCCAAAGAUGGCUCAUCAGGAUUUCUGCUUUUGUUGGGACAAAAUCCUGCAGAUUCAUGUCCAGGGAUCCCACAGGUCUCACCUAAAGGAGUGAAAUCUCCAAGGAUGGUGGCAAUGAAGUGUUUCUUUGCCUCGGACUAGUGAACAUCUGUCUGCAUAGAACAUCACACAGGAAGGGCAAAGCUAUGAACUGAAAAUACUUCUGACCAAGGAAGAUCAAGAACUGUAUUUCUACUCUCAGCUCUACUACAUGACAGGGGAUAAGGUUUAGAUGAAACAGCAGGACUGAUCCUACAUCAAAACAAGGAAUAAACCCUUCUGCUUAAAACUGUGCUCAUACGAAUGCAACUAUUGAAUGUCUGCCUAUGAAGAACCAUCUUUCUCCUACUCAGGAAGGAACAAUAACUGUUCUGUUCAAGAAUGGUGAAAUGGAAAACCUUGGUUGAUUCUGCAAGAUGUUUAAUAUUUCCUGCUAAAUGCCUUUGGGUCCCUCUGAUGCAGAAGGGAGCUGGCCCCUGGAGCACAGACUAAGAGGGCAGAGAAAUGAAGUGAAACUCCUUCCUCAAAAUCACAUUUUUCCUGGACACUUAAUCACUUAAUCAGAGAAGACUCUUGUGGCCUACAUGGAAGAUAAUAAAGAAAAUCACAGGUAUAUGUUUUCCCCUCCUUUUCUUUUUAUUUUCUAUUUUGUGUGUAGCAUUUUCUUGUGCAUUUCAUCACAUCACUUAAGGAGUUCAUAGGAUGUGAAUGUGCAGGGGUAUUGAAAAAAGACCUUUUAAAGUGGAGGAAUAUUGCUUUCAUUGUGUGUGAUAUGGCUAUGUUCCCACAGUCAUCCCAUUUUGUUUUAAUAUUAGCCUAUUGGACCAUGAAAAAAUCUAAAGUAUGAGAAAUAUACUUUUUCUUUUGUGUAGCUAUCAUUAUGAGCUCCAUAAAAACAUAGCUCAGAUGAAUAAACUAAAUGUUUACUUUUGCAAAACAAUUAGGAAGAUAUAACUAUUUAGAAGGUAGAACUGCUUCAAGAAACUGUGCAAAAUUACACAGGUUACAACCACUGUCUUGUUGCAUAUCCAUGGGUAGAAAUGAGGCUGGCUUUCCCAAAGAUCUGUGCACAAAGGCUGUGGGCUGAGCCACCCUGUCCUUCAGCAUGUUUCAGUCUUCCACCAGCUCUACAUUUUCCCAAAGCUGCUGCAUUUUCGUCCUUCAUGUUCUUGGCCAAAUUUGGCUGCAAUGCUACUGUCAGUUCAAAGAUUGUGGAAGGGGAAGGAGGAAAGACAGACAGGAAGGUGGAAAGAAAAUUCCCUUGUGUGAGCCUCCUUUCCAAAGGAACACUGAAGGUAAGAAAGAAUCACAGGGGCUGUAACGGUGCAACGUUUCAAAAUGAUCAAUUCACAAAGAAAAGAGAAAAAAGGUGCAGCCUUUACACCUCCUGUUGCCAUGAACUCUUCUCCUUCUCACCUUGAAUUUGCUGUCCAAGACAGCUCGUGUCACACCUCCCAAGGACAGGCACAAAAGACACAGAGGCAGCAAUUUUGUUUUGAAAUAGCUGUCAGAACACCAGGGGUUAAUGAUGCCCAGAUCCUCCUGCCUCACUGCUCGUCUGAGCAUUUCUUAUGUAGAGCUGAUUUGCAGCUGCACUGCUAAGUUUUAUCCUGGGAAAAAGCCUCAAAAAUAUGUUUCUGCUACAGCAAUUCUGCCCUUUGUAAUUGGGGAAGAAAAUGCCUAUGAAAUAUGCCAUAGAGCCCUGUGGUGCUGCAUUCUGAAAUGUAUUUCAUUGCAUGCCAUGAAAGCUGGAACUUCAAAACCCAUUGAUUAAAAUGAGAGCAUUGCUGUACUCUGCUAAUUAGGAUAUAGUACUUAACACUAUUCUUAGUUUGAACUGUGCACAGUAAGUACACUUCUAUUAAUAGUUUUUGGGGGGUAGGGAGACCGUGUUUAUCUUUUUUUUUUUUUUUUAAUUGCAUGAAAAGGCAGGAGCCAGCAGUCACAUUUUAAGAAUGCUCUGGGAAGAGAAGAUUUCCUGCUGGGAGAAGCCAAAUGAGUGGAAGGAAAAAAUAUAUGUCAGAUGGCAGAAGGGGGGAACAGACCAGUUGGAGAGGGAUGGAUAGCUGAGAUACAGUGAACUACUGCAUUCUCACAAUCUUUUUUAACCAGUAUUUCUGGGUCUGAACAGGGAAAGUACUUACCCUUUUGAACAUUUAGGGGAAAGUGUUAUCAUCAUGCAUGAAAUCAAAUAGAGUUUGUGCAAAUCCAUUGAAACACCCGUUUGAUAUUCAGAGUGGGAGCAGGAAAUUUUAAAUGCACACAACAAGCAGCAAGUCUAAGUAGUGUUUUCUCUGCCACAGUCACUGAGGAAAGGUUAAAACUUCAAACAGCUACAAGUCUCCAGCAGAUACAUGGAAAAACAGGUCCUGGAGGUGUGUCAAAAUAUCUAAUAUUUGCUAUAUCUAGAUAGAAACAUAAGGAAAGUUGAAAGUAAGAAAUAAGGCAAAAAAGUAGCCACAAGCCCAGAUCAGUUUCUCAGUACUAACAAGCUGCCUAUGCAAAGUGCUGACAGGUUUUAUACCAGUGGCGUAAAAAGAUUCAUGCUGAGCUCUCACUUGAGUGCAGAAGAGCAGAAAAACCCUGCACUGACCCCUCAGUAAAUCAGCCACCUGAAGAGAGAGCCUUGCAGCCACGUUUCCUCACCCAGCAGCCUGAACCUUCAGCUUUUCCCCUCUGGGCUGGCUGUCCUACUGCAGGCAGGCGAUGCCCUUGUGCCAAAGCACAGUCGUAUUAACGGGGGCCGUCACAGUCCUGGGUUCAGUGUAAGAUGUAUUCUAUUCCCAUCUGUUGAAACUGGCUGCGGAGAGGUUGGGUUUGAUUUUUUUUUAAUCUCUUCUUUCUCUCUAUGACCCAUUCCUCAUGACUCUGGGGGGUAGGGGGUGGGUAUCUUUUGUUAAUGGGCCAGCUGUUAAAACCAGAUGGGGCAGUGUUCUUAUCUCUUCCACAACCCAUCCUCCCUCAGGGAGAUAUCUGCUGUUAAUGGGCCAUCCAGGCUCACUGCAUGACUGAUACAAUUAUAUCAUCCCAUGCUCCACCCAGUGGGAGAAGCCAAGCAUUCCUACCCAGAUAAAAGCUGGGAUUCAGAACCCCAGGACAGCUUGUUUCCACCAGAUUCCCAGAGGAGUUUCGACUGCAUUCCCAGAGGAAGACCGGACCCACCUCGCCACCACUGGACCCUCAGAGGGAAACCCACUUUUCUACAGGAUCAUCUCUGCUCUAACAGAACCACAUCUGUCAUUCCAGGAGGAUUUAACUGGACUGCUCCCAACACCCUGACCAACAGGGUGUCAGGAUCUACCUGAGAAAGGAUUUAGGAUGCUGAUCCUCAAUUUUUUCAGUCUCCUCUCCAUCAUCUGCGGGUGUUUACCAAAGCACCAGUUUUACUCCUCUGCACACCUGGAUUUGAGUCAUGCACGGAGAAGAAAAGAGACAAUAUUUUAUUGUAGCAGCAUCCAGAGAGUUCUCCUGCUGCCCAGCCAUUCCUGUUGUUCCUGUGCAGAGGAUACUAAUUAUCCAGCAUGUGAAAUUACAAUGGCAGAAAAUAGUGAACAUCUCAAAUAGAGAAGUAAUUACAAUUGUCUAUGCUGAGAGCUAUGGAAAUAAUCAACAAACCAAAGAGACAAACAACAAUAGCCACCACAGAGAAGUUCAGAAUAAUCUCACUGAAUUGAAAAAAUUCAGCAAACAGCCUGAAAAAAAUACAAGGAAGAUGUUCAUCCUCAGAGGAAGAAAAGCCCCUGUGCUCAUCUGGGCUUGGGAACAGCAGCUCCUUUGAACACAUCAGGCAUUCAACCUAAGGCUGAGCAGGUUCAGGCACCGAGCCAUGAAGCUAUUCAGGAGGACUAGAAAAAACUACUGCCGGGCCAGAACUCCUGAUUUUUAACUCCUGCUCAGGCCUGGAUUGGUACUGCUGAACUCCAUUGUGCCUCCGGGAAAUGGACACAAUACUUGCACUUAUCAUCAAGCUGUUCUGCUGACCAGAUAUUGUGAAUGCCUUUGGAUCAUGCCAGAGUGAUAAUGACUUGGAGCAUAGAAAUGGACUUGCAGCUGGAUUCCCAGGAGAGCUUUCCACACAGGUUUGCUGAUCUUGCUCUGAGUUUUCAACCAACACAUUAUAUUUUCUUUUUGUCCUGCCAUAACUUUAGAAUAGAAAUCUAUUAAGCUAAGCACAGCUUUAUAAAAGAUCAUGAAGUCGCAUAACAGAAUCACAUUGUGUUCCCUAAGCUUUAAAAACAUCACUUCAGGUAAGAAUCUUAUGCUAUCUUCCAAAAUGAAAUAGAGGCUGAAAAUAUAGGGUACAAAAUAUUUUAUGUGUUGCUUCCACCUCAUGCUGGCCAUUUAUAUUUUGCCCCUUCUGCUUCAUCCUCACAGUCAGCCAUGCAGUAAAAUGGGUUUGAAUCCCCUGCACACUCAUUACAGAGAGCACGUAAGAGUCAGGGUAAGGCUGAAGCCUCAGCUUUGAGUAAAUAAAUACAGGAAUAAGAAGCCUUCAGCAGAUACCAUAAAGGCACACAAAUGUCUUUGCUUUGCAAGCCUGUGCCCCCCUCUUUGUUUUUCCCUUCUCUUCCACUGGUCAUUGCCCACAGUCAGAAGCCUUGGUAGAAAGCAGCUACUCCUCCUCUCAGAUAGUUCCACCUUAGCUUAAAUGGGUGAUAAGGGUGAUGUAAAAUCACCUUGCAGAUUUUAUCCAAAAAUGAAUGAAAGAACAUUCACGUUCUUCAGUUUCAAGAGUGAUCUCUACCCAGGUGGGUGUUGGUAAUCAUCUGGAAGUGGUAAAGUUAUUAACCACAUUCAACGCUGGGUGUUUGCCCACUCCUUCCUGGAAAGGAAAGGAAUAAACAGGCAGCUGUGAUCUUGUCCUCUACACUGUCUGACAAUGUAGAACAUGAAUGCACUGGAUAUCUUUACACUUAUCACAAAUAUUUUCUUCUCUCCAUCAGAUGCUCUGGCAAAUAUUUGGACCCUCAGAACAAGAUGGUCAUUAAAAUUCAUAGUCCAGGUUUGCAUCAGCAUAACUCAGUUGUGAGACCAUUGAUAUCAGGGACUUUUUUUUAGGAGAAAAUAGGCUUGUCCCCUUUCCUGUGGGUACAAGAAUUGCAGUGUUGUGCUCUGGUUCAAGAUUGAGAGGUUAGAAGACACACAAGCCACCAGUGUGAAAAUGAAAGGAAUCAAAUUCAGAGAUCCUAUUCUGUGCCAAGAAACAUAUCCAGAGAGCAGCAGCUGAAGUUUGUGUGUUUAUUAGGGAGAUUAAAUUGUAGGUGAGCUGACUCCAAGCUGCACAGGAGCUGGGGAGCUUCUCUGUUAGCUGGCAGCAAUGAGCUGAGGACACCUCAGAAGUCAGGUGGGGAAAAACUGCUCUCUGCAGGCUCAGUAGUCCUUCCAAACAGAGGACACCCUGUGUCUCUGGGAGGAGGAUGACAGAGAUAAACGUGGUCAUGACUGCUAUAAAACAAAAGUUAGACCUAGAUUGCCCCAGGUCUGCACCCAGUCUGAGUUAGACAAGGACAAACCACACGAAGGCUUGCAGGAGAUGCUGCCUUGCACCUUUUUUAACACACAGGAGUGAUGAUGGAGGCAGGGUCUUACCAGCCUUUUUUCCCCUCAUUUGAAAAGUUGUACUGCUGUGUUUCAUUUUACUUAUUGCAAAAGUGGCAGAAGGAGGGAGGCAGAAGAAAAGCAUCUAUAUCAGACAUAACAGAAGGAAAUACGGGAGGAGGGUGGGGAGGUGGGUUGGUGGUGUCUGGUUUAUGGCCCUUCUGUGCCAUCUGAAUGUACAAAAGGCUUAAAAACAGCCCAAGCAUCUGUGUUACUCUCUGCACCACUAUGAUAAUGAAAAUCCACAAAUGCUUACAGGAAUAAACAACAUUUCAAGUUUCCUGAGGUUAUAUGAAAGAAAUAUUUAUUCUAUCUGAAAAAGACUAUGCAGAGAAGUAUUGGAGUUAAAAAAAAAAAGUCAUAAUGUGUUCACAAUGUGAGGGAGAAGAACAGCACAGCAAGCAACCUUAACUAGGCUGUUUCCAAACUUUUGGCUGCCUAACCAUGCAGUCUUAAUGCUCUGUUACCAUAUUUGUCAUGCACACAGUAUUAUAUAGAUAUAUAUAAUACCAGCUGUCUGGCUAGAUAUAGAUAUCUUAUUUUUAUUGGAAUUUUAUCCUCACUCUCCUCUCUGCUUCUCUUUUCACAGUUUUCCUUAAGUAGAAUGUGAAACUAAUACUUUCAAAUUUCAGCUGCACUUUUGAACUUGUGAUAUUUGAAAGCAAUUUUUUUCUCAUCACAACCUGAAACUGAUAUGUUGUUACACAGGAAAUGUUGCACAUCUCAAAACUCCCCACUCACAGAAGAGGGGGAAUCCUGUCUACCAGAUUAUCAGAAAAUGUCUUCAAAAGGGCCAGCAUGAGGCUUCCACCCAGAUUUAUCAACAAAUGGGUCAGAAAAACCCCACACUAUGGAACCAGAAAAAGGGCUUCUUCUCAGGGAGCAGCUUGCUGGCCAGUCAAUGGAUUGCUGGGCAUUGUUCAGUGCUAACCAUUGUAACAACCCUUAUCCAGCUGAAAAAAAUUUACUAGGAAAGAGUGCAAAGCCAUGAAGUAGCUGGUGGAUUUUUCAGUCGUCUCAGGGCCAUUUCCAGUCUUGGUCCAAGUGGUCAAGCAAAAGAUUCAGGGUUUUACAGUGUCUUGUGCACCUUCUCAAGGAAAGGGAAGAACUAUGGCUCCAGAAAUGCAAAUGCUCCUUCUUUGUGAGCAGCUUUGCCCCCACAAGUAAAUCACAGCCAGUCCCUGGUGGCUCCAAAGACGGGAGUGCUGCUGGCCGAGGCUGUGCUGAGCUGGAAUGGUGGGAAUGCUUCUGUGAUAACAGGUUUAAGAAGAAGAAGAAAGUUGUUGCACAGAUGUAAUUGUGGCCAGAGAAGAGCAGGAUGAGAACAAGCAAGAGGAACAGCUCUGCAGACACCCAGCUCCAAAAAUUGAAGCCUCUGAAUCUCAGUUUCCAAAAUGUGGUCUUCUCAGAAAUACAUUUUCCCAAAAAGAGAGUUAAGGCAGGCAAGCAAUUCAGCUUCCAGGAGAGAGACGAGAGGAGGACCAGGGGGAUCCCUGAAGAAUCCACUGGAUAUGGAUGCCCAGAGGGGGCUCUCUAAGGAAAAGCCAGGAAGGAUCUCAGCAACUCUCACUGGAUCUGCUGCUGUACCAGGAGCUCCCCACACGGGAACCCUUGCUGGACCAGGAAGUGUUUCCUGGAAGACAUGAAAGAUAACUCUGCUCUGUUAUGACAGGUAGAAGAAUUAUAAAAGAAAGGCCUCACAAAAUCCUGCCUGCUCUAUUAAAUUAACAGCUAGCCUGUUAUCUAUUCUAAGUGCAAUAAAGCGAUUUGCAACAAUCUUGGUAUGAGAGGUUUGUUAACACAACCACCUACUCCUGGGCUGAAAAAUGAGUGCAGCAGUGUGAACAACAGGAUCUGCCCCGUGAGAACCCAGAAAGGAAGAACGCGAACAGCCUGAACCUCAGCACGGACACCCUAAACACCUCCUGACCAAAAAAUGUGGCAGGAAAACUACCAGCACAGAGG